rnacentral:rRNA from 1 species
GUCUCAGUUCGGAUUGGAGUCUGCAACCCGACUCCAUGAAGCUGGAUUCGCUAGUAAUCGCGCAUCAGCCACGGCGCGGUGAAUACGUUCCCGGGCCUUGUACACACCGCCCGUCAAGCCAUGGAAGCCGGGGGUGCCUGAAGUGCGCUGCCGCAAGGAGCGCCCUAGGGUAAAACCGGUGACUGGGGCUAAGUCGUAACAAGGUAAC